AAUUCAGAUAAUCUACUAUUGCACACAUACACUGUAUGUACUUUGUGGAUGCAAGCCGACAGAAGAAUGGCUUUCUCGUCAGUCAUGUGUAUCUCAGCCAGGUUCAACUGCUGUAACUGCAUAUAGUAGAAUCGGGAAAACACACUAUAAGUGUCCAAUACCUGGCAGCAACAGUAUAUAUAUGUGUAUGUUUCACUUACUUUCACGUUCUCCAUCUGAGACGCAUUGGUAAAAAGGCCGUGCAUUGAGUCGGAUAUGAACACAGUGCCAACAGCAACGUUGAUGACGAUUGAGUGACUCGCCGCUCUGACAACGUGCAGGA